rnacentral:rRNA from 1 species
GACGAACGCUGGCGGCGUGCUUAACACAUGCAAGUCGAACGAUGAAGCCGGAGCUUGCUCCGGUGGAUUAGUGGCGAACGGGUGAGUAACACGUGAGCAAUCUGCCCUUGACUCUGGGAUAACUGCGGGAAACUGUGGCUAAUACCGGAUACGACACCUUGGGGCAUCCUAGGGUGUGGAAAGAAUUUCGGUCAAGGAUGAGCUCGCGGCCUAUCAGCUAGUUGGUGAGGUAAUGGCUCACCAAGGCGACGACGGGUAGCCGGCCUGAGAGGGUGAACGGCCACACUGGAACUGAGACACGGUCCAGACGCCUACGGGAGGCAGCAGUGGGGAAGAUUGCACAAGGGGCGAAAGCCUGAUGCAGGAACGCCGCGUGAGGGAUGAAGGCCUUCGGGUUGUAAACCUCUUUUAGCAGGGAAGAAGCGAAAGUGACGGUGCCUGCAGAAAAAGCACCGGCUAACUACGUGCCAGCCGCCGCGGUAA